AGUAUUACUUUUUUAAGUCUUUUUUGUUUCUGUAAAGUGUCGGCAAGAAGAUUUGGAGCUUGCUUUUUAUUCUCUUUCCGAUUUUUUCCUUCGUCGUUUUCUCUUUUGCACUUCGCGUCUCGUUUCUUUCCUCCUCUAUGUUACGCUUGCAUUUAUUUUACAAUUCUUUUUUUCUAUUUUUUGGGUUUCUUAUGGAGAAAGUGUUUCCGAUCAGUUCGCUCCAUUCUUCAUUUUACUAUAUAUAUAAUAGCUCAGAACUCGAUGGAUGUGUAAUUUUUCAAGUUAUCCUUUCUUGCUGAGUUUUAUACAUGUAUUUAGUAGUUUCAUUCAUCUGCACAUGUAUGUUUAGUGGCCUAAAAUACAACUUUGAGGGUGAAACAAGUGGAUAUGAUUGAUUAGUUCCGUAGUAGAUCUAAUUCUUCUGAUCCAAAGUUCCUUUCUGAAGUCAAAUGUAGGUUGAUUUUAUAAUUUAGUUGGCAUUUACGUAAAUGAUAGUUUGUUUCAUCUUCAUUUUAUUCUUCUCUCAGCGAUGUGGUACUAACAAUUCCCGCGUCUGUUAUUUUUAACCGAGAGGUUGUGAGUUCGAGUCUCCCCAAGAGCAAGGUGGGAAGUUCUUGGAGGGAAGAAUGCCGGGGGUCUAUUUGGAAAUAGCCUCUCUACCCAAGGGUAAGGCUGUAUCCGGUUCCGGUUCUGGGUCUAUUUGGGUAAACGGUUCCGGUUCUGGCGUUUCCCUGUUCCGGUUCUGGCGGUUCCCGGUUCUGGCGGUUCAGGAGCCGGAACCGGAACCGGAACCACCCGGUUCCGGAACCACCCGGUUCCGGUUCUGGCGGUUCCGGAACCGCGGGUCUGGCGGUUCCAGGCGGUUCCCGGCGGUUCCGAC
rnacentral:lncRNA from 1 species